rnacentral:tRNA from 1 species
GCCUGGGUGGCUCAGUUGGGUAAAGUGUCCGACUUCGGCUCAGGUCCUGAUCUCAUGGUUCGUGGGUUCAAACCCCACACCAGGCU